CCUUGUUGUUAAUAAUCUGUACCACCUACUUAGGAGGCUGAGGUGGGAGGAUCGCUUGAGCCCAGGAGUUCUGGGCUGUAGUGCGCUGUGCCCAUCACGUCUGCACUAAGUUUGGCAUCAGUAUGGUGACCUCUCGGGAGCGGGGGGACCACCAGGUUGCCUAAGGAGGGGUGAAUCAGCCCAGUGGGAAACAGAGCAGGUCAAAAUUCCCAGGCUGAUCAGUAGUGGGAUCGCGCCUAUGAAUAGCCACUGCACUCUAGCCGGAGGAACAUAGUGAGACAUCCGUCACU
ensembl:misc_RNA Metazoa_SRP Metazoan signal recognition particle RNA